rnacentral:misc_RNA from 1 species
GGAUGAAGUGGAGGUUGUUGAGAAUAGCCGAAGCAAGCUGCGGGGAGCAGCAGCCAAAGCAGCCCUCGCUCUCAUAGCCAUGGUUGCGGCGGUGUUGAUGACGAAGACAAACCCCAGAGUCUCAGCGACAGAAACGCUAAAUGGAAGCGCUUUCCCUUUGCUUUAUAGGCUGCUUUGGCGUAACAUUGAGACGCUAGGGUUUAUGGAUAGGAAGCAAAAUUAUAAAAUUAGAUUAUAAA